rnacentral:rRNA from 1 species
UCUUCCCUCUUUCUUCGUGCCUAAUACAUGCAAGUCGAGCGAACGGACGAGAAGCUUGCUUCUCUGAUGUUAGCGGCGGACGGGUGAGUAACACGUGGAUAACCUACCUAUAAGACUGGGAUAACUUCGGGAAACCGGAGCUAAUACCGGAUAAUAUUUUGAACCGCAUGGUUCAAAAGUGAAAGACGGUCUUGCUGUCACUUAUAGAUGGAUCCGCGCUGCAUUAGCUAGUUGGUAAGGUAACGGCUUACCAAGGCAACGAUGCAUAGCCUACCUGAGAGGGUGAUCGGCCACACUGGAACUGAGACACGGUCCAGACUCCUACGGGAGGCAGCAGUAGGGAAUCUUCCGCAAUGGGCGAAAGCCUGACGGAGCAACGCCGCGUGAGUGAUGAAGGUCUUCGGAUCGUAAAACUCUGUUAUUAGGGAAGAACAUAUGUGUAAGUAACUGUGCACAUCUUGACGGUACCUAAUCAGAAAGCCACGGCUAACUACGUG